rnacentral:rRNA from 1 species
UGAUCCUAACCAAACUCCGAAUACCCGGGAGUACUAUCUGGCAGACACACGGCGGGUGCUAACGUCCGUCGUGAAGAGGGAAACAACCCUGACCUACAGCUAAGGCCCCCAAUUCGUGGCUAAGUGGGAAAGCAGGUGGGACGUCCAAAACAACCAGGAGGUUGGCUUAGAAGCAGCCAUCCUUUAAAGAUAGCGUAACAGCUCACUGGUCUAAACAAGAUGUCCUGCGGCGAAGAUGUAACGGGGCUCAAGCCACGAGCCGAAGCUAGGACUGCAUAUGCAGUGGUAGCGGAGCGUUCUGUUCUGUACACCUUGCGUCUUGCACACCCUCGCGGUGUGACGGACGCAAUCGGUGUCUGCUGAGAAGCCGGCCCGUAAGGGACCGGUGGAGCGUUCAGAAGUGAGAAUGUUGACAUGAGUAGCGACAAACAGGGUGAGAGACCCUGUCGCCGAAAGUCCAAGGGUUCCUGCUUAAAGUUAAUCUGAGCAGGGUAAGCCGGCCCCUAAGGCGAGGCAGAAAUGCGUAGUCGAUGGGAACCAGGUUAAUAUUCCUGGGCCAGUGGGAAGUGACGGAUCUCAAAGGUAGUUUCCUCUUAUCGGAUUGAGGAGGCUGCUCAGAGGUUCCUGGAAAUAGCCCCACACCAGACCGUACCCGAAACCGACACAGGUGGACUGGUAGAGAAUACCAAGGCGCUUGAGAGAACCAUGUUUAAGGAACUCGGCAAAAUGCUCCGUAAGUUCGCGAGAAGGAGGCCCCGUCAUUGCGCAAGCAGUGGCGGGGGGCACAGACCAGGGGGUGGCGACUGUUUAUUAAAAACACAGGGCUCUGCGAAGUCGCAAGACGACGUAUAGGGUCUGACGCCUGCCCGGUGCCGGAAGGUUAAAAGGAGGGGUGCAAGCUCCGAAUUGAAGCCCCGGUAAACGGCGGCCGUAACUAUAACGGUCCUAAGGUAGCGAAAUUCCUUGUCGGGUAAGUUCCGACCUGCACGAAUGGCGUAACGACUUCCCCGCUGUCUCGAACAUGGACUCAGCGAAAUUGAAUUGCCUGUCAAGAUGCAGGUUCCCGCGGUUAGACGGAAAGACCCCGUGCACCUUUACUACAGCUUCACACUGGCAUCAGGCCAGGCAUGUGCAGGAUAGGUGGUAGGCUUUGAAGUGGGGACGCCAGUCCCCAUGGAGCCUCCCUUG